ensembl:lncRNA
UUCACUGUGAGAAUGAAGGAGGAAGAGGAGCUAUCAAUGGACAGUGGAGAUGAAAUGUCCAGCGAUAGUCUGGAUCUGGCUUCACAUGACGGAGGCUCUUCAGAUGAAGACGCACAGAUGCGCGGACGUUUAACGAGACGGAGAUCCAGAGAAGGAGAGCAAGGGAUUUCUGCCACGUCUCAUCUCGGAGAUUCCUUUGUUCCUGCACAUGCAGACGUAGAAAAGGAUCUGCAGACUGAUGAGCCAGAACGGCUGUCAGAAGAACCAUACACGGGCUGUGGUGUUAAAGAAGGUGCACGCCACCGAGAGAAACGGAGUGGAUUAAAAAGACACCCCCGUGAAUGGACCCGAAUGAUCUAUCAGCCAUUUAAUGGUGACGCACAACUGGAGUGCUGGGUCUGGAUCAGAGCGAUUGUCUAGUCUGCGGGGGCUCUCCCCUCGCAGAGUGGAUUUGAAUUCUGCUCACUCUGACACGCCAGAACACACACACUUUGACCCAGGCUCAACAGAGUCAGAGUCUCCUGGACCAAGCGGCCGCCUCAGUACCAACACUGAGGGACACCUGUUUUUAAAAAUGGACAACAACAUGCAGGCAACUGGAAUUCAAAUUCGCUCGGCCACAACUUCCAGGAGAGGAGAAACAUCAGCAUAUGAACAAGCUACAUCUGCGUCUAACUGGUCGGGCAAGUCCUCUCCGACUCCUCCUCACCCCGCCAAAACAACCCCAAGUCCUCUCCCGGAACACGUCUCUCCCUGCCUCUCUCAUUCCCCAUCUCGUCCUCCUCGCUCUGCCUGCCUGUCCCGGCCCACGUCAGGCUCGGAAUUGAGCCCAGCAUUCCGCCUGUUGUCCCGGGCGGCCCAGCAGAUCACGGAGAACUGUGGCGUGGACCAGACGGGCUGCGGGGACUCUGACCUGGACACAGCUGCACACACGCUCUGCGGCCUCGAGCAAGGACUCCCGCUCAUGGCCCCGGAAACAGGGACGCAUCGGGCUUCAUCGUGUGGUGAAAUGAACAGUGGAAGUCGAACUCAGCAUGGGAGUCAGUGACUGACACGGGACAGAGUCGGCGAGGAACAAAAGGAGGCGGAGGAGGCUGCACAGAGAGACCUGCAGUGUGUCCACUUACUACCCUGAGAUAUUUGCACACACACGCACUCACAUUGCAGAGUAGAGAGUAAAGCGGCAAAAAUACACAGUUUAAUUUAAAUUGUGUUCACAUGUUGUCAAGGCUGGUGUAGAUGCCCCUUUAACCUCUGAAUCUAAAUCUGCAUAGAACUCUCGUCGUGCAAAUAAAUGAAAAUCUAAUGCUUUGAAGAACAAUGCUGGAAUUUGAUUAAAACAAUGUUUUGGAUUUCGAGUUGGGAUUUAUCUCUGUAUGAAUGUGUACAUGUUCUCACUGCACUAUAUUUAUGUCACUCGUACACUGUAUGAAAGGCAGCUUUGAGAUACCCGCCUGUGGAUGGAUUAUCUGAAGGUAUACGAAACAAACAAUGAGACGGGAAAAGGACGAGUACAGUACGGAUCUUCAGCUUUGAUUUCUUUGUGUGUUUCCAAGUGUGUGUGUGUGUGUGUGUGUGUGUGGCGCGCUUGUGUAGGUGUGCUGUCGUUGAGUUACAGUUGGCUGUGGUGUAAAUUAUGAGGGAAUAAGUAUCUGUGCCAACGGCUGCCAUCUCUCCGUAUGUGUGUGCAGGAGUUGGGGAAGAUAAACACCAGGCACAGGAAUUGGUUUGUCUUCUCUGUAGUAAAUGCACAGUUGGUGUGUAUGGGAGUGUGUACUGUAUAGAAGUGGAAGUAUUUUUUCUCCAGGUUUUUCAUUACCCCCCCAUCCUGUCCUUGCCCACCAGAGCUGCCAGGGUCCUCGGCUGAGUUCACAAACCACCAGUCGCUCGUUUAUUUCCAGCCAACGCGCACGUGAGGAUCGGGACAGGGACAAACAGGUAAACACAGGAGACCGAUCGCUCCUGUGUUACACACUCCAACGCACACAAACUGUUUGAAGCAGCAUGGAUGUCGAAGAUGCCGUGAAGAGUGAGGUUCAUUUGUGAACUGUCCACGUGGCUGUGUGUGAAUUCGAGCAUAUGCGCGGGGGGGCACUGUUUACUUCAGUCACCGUCGAGGGAUGCACAGGUACUUUAUUUGACUCGAUGUUAAUCGCCAGGAGCGGACAGCGAAAGCCCUGUAAUCCAACAGCAAUCACAGCAAGACUGAUUGACAGCACACGGGCGGAGAGAGAGAGAGAGAGAGAGAGGAGGACCGAGAGACCCAGCGGCAAUGAGGAAGAGGGGUGAAAAUGGUAGAUUGCUUGUUAUUGUGUCCUUAACUGAGUUCAUCACUUACUGUUUAGGAGAGGAAAAUAACAGAGACACGAGUCUGAUGGAUAUCGAACCGCUGGGCCGGGUUUAACCAACUCUGAGAUCCGUGCACCUCUUUCUCUCCCUCUCUCUCACGCACGUGGAUACAAACGGACAGAGAACCAGAAAAGAGCGCUGACCUUUGUUGGGUGUUGAGUUGUCUGUGAUGUUGUUAAUGCCGUCAAGAAAGACAGUGACGGAGGAGGAGUUGACGUCUAAGUCCACUGUUAACUGACCCUUUUCCACAACUGGACUUCAGACUGGGUCGGAAAAACUGACAAAAAGACUCUUUUUUUUUGCUAAACUCUCUAUUUUUUAAUUAUCGAGGAAAACCCCAACUCAUUUUAAUACACAAUACAUAUUACAGUGGACAUUUAUUGCAAAGUCAAUCAGAAGAAUGCAGCUUCCCUUCCCCCCUUCCCUGUCUCCUCAAGUGUGAUUUUUUUUCCAUACUACUUUGCUUUUUUUUUUUUUUUCCUUUUUUCUUUUUACAGCAACUUGCUCGGUAGAUACAUUUUUGUUCUGCUUCUGGCUUCAUGUCCACUCAUUUUCUGAUGAAAAGCCAUUCAAUUUUCCUCAGUCAGAAUGCCCUGAAAGCACUGCCUUGUUCACACACACACACACACACACACACUCAUUAACCACCUACAGUGAGCCGCAAGGGACAGUGUCCACAAAAUGGGUCGAAAAUAGAAGAAAUUGCACUCCUGGCGCAGAAAGGGGUUCAGUUUUCUUAUAAAUCAAUCCCCUAUUAGCCUUUUUUAUGAACUCACGAGGGAAUCCUCUGACAAUGUUCUGCCGCAAACUCGGGUCUCUGCAAGACAUGCAGUGGUUUUCACCAAAGGUGAAGAUUUGUGGCAGCAUCAUCGCCGCCAUCACCCCAGGUAGAGGUAGCUGAACUCCCGGCAGCAGCUCGCGUCCACUUGUGCUGUAGCCCCCAUGUCAGGGGGUCACACUUUGCUGCAGCUGAUUUGAAGGACUGAGAUGACGUAACGCAGGUAAGUUUACGUUCGCACUUUUUACGGUUUCAUUUCGACCUAUUUGGUCCGCCCAACGAAGAGGCUCCAGGAAGAACUGAAGGCCGAAAUGCACGGAGACAAAAACACAACAUGAGCUCCGUCAGUUUACCCAUUCAGAAUAAUGUUGGGGGUUUUUUUGUUGGUUUUCUUUUGGUUUUUUAUGGUGUUGGUGAUGUCAUCGCUGACAUCAUGGGUUAAACCAACUGGUGGGGGUUUCUUUUCAGUGGGGACGUUUGGUUUGAUGCUUUAUCGUUUGUUCACGUCACGUGUUGAGAUACUCACCCUUCGUAUGGUGAAUUGGUGACGUAAUGAGCUUGGGAAUAGGAGUUUUACGAUUAGUUUAUGUUACCUGGUGUUAAGGGUACUGUAUGUGUCAACCCUCAGUGAACGCUGGUGUGGGCUGAAGUAGUUUAGGUGUCAAUUGAACACCCUAUAUAUUCACCUGGAGCCUUCCCUCUCGAGGUUGGGGGGGAACAAGGUGCGGCCAUGCGGCCAUGCUUGUCUGAGUUUUCAGUCAAUUUUCAGUUAUUGUCUUGAGUUUUUGACUGACUCACUCGUGGGGCUCUGAAGGCCCUGAAGCCUCCUGAGGUGAAAUCUGAACAAGGAAAACAGAACUUUGAAGGACAACUUCCAUUUUUUGGGAGCAAAUUCUAGGAACUGAGAACUUUUUUUUUUAAAUAAGUGGACCCUUACGGACUAAAGGAAUACAAACAAUCCAGGAAUGGAAAAGACAACUUCACCGCUGUAAAGGUAGGGAUUCCGCCAAUGUUUUGCAUCUUGCUUCAUGAUGCCGGUAAAUUCAAAAUGAAAGGCAAUUUUGCACUCGUGGUAUUAGUAAAAUGAACCCAAUGGGUGAGUUUUGGAGAAACUAACUAAAAGUGUAUAGUUGACGGAAACCGCUCUCGUUGCUGCAGGCUCUCCCCAUGUUCUGAGUGUGUGUUCGCUGAAGAGCACAAAACGAUGUGUGUUCAUGCUCGUAAGUUAGACAAGAAAGAGACAUUUGACGGGGAAGUUAAGUGGGCUGUUGUUCAGUCUGUGGCUCCAUGUGUAGGCGGAUGUUGUCUGGAUAGAAGGGGGACUCGACUGCUUCAUUCAAAGGUCUGAUUGGCUGCGUGCAAACGACAUCUCCAUCUCCACGGCUUGUGCUCUCAUUAAAUAAUAAAAAAUUUAAAAAAACCCUGGCAACAACAAAAGAUCAAAUGUAUUCAUUUUUCCUCAC